UCUUUCGAAGCCAUCAAGCAGUGUCGUCGUCAAGCAUUGCACUAAACAAUGGUUACGUGAACACAGACAUAUAUUGAAUGGGUUUGAAUUCCAGAAGUCUUGGGACCAGAAGACAAAUAAGGGAAGCUUUUGGAGAAAAAUUGUCUGCUGAAGUGAGAUUGAUUCCCCCAAACUGUGUGCUGGACAGGAAAUGGAUCCAAAUCUCAUACACAAAGUAUAUAAAUCGAAAGCCCUAUACCUCAGACCAUCAAAGCCAAUUUUGGUACUGGAUGAUGAUUCUUUUAAGGAUGAUAGCAGCGAUGACAACAAUUUGAGUUCAACUCGCCAACUGCGGUUCUCAUCUCUAACACAAGCUAGACACUCUUAUGCAUCUUCAGACAGUUUGACCAGUCCAACAACUGCCUCCUCAUCAAACAGUACUUCUGCAGUUCAGUCUUUUGCCUCAUCACUUGGACGUGAAGUCUUAUCCACUCAUACUCCAGCCUCGACCUACCACAGGAAUAUCUCACCUAACACCACCAUUUCAGCAAGUAGUUUGUCUAAUCAACUGCCAGUAUGUCCAUCCACCAGUCAGCCUUCUACCCUACCAUUUGGAGGAACAACUUCAGUUGAUCCAACCCUGGUCCUGACUUGGUAGUACAAGAUCAUUCCUCUGAGUUACCCUCUACCUCAACACACCAUCAAGCAGCAAACUAUGAUAACUACCUUUCAAUAAUGUCUGUACUGUCUGACCUUUCCUCUGAUGAGGAGGAACUGAACCAGGCUAUACUAGCAAGCCUGCAUAGUGAAAGGUUAGUACAAAUGUAAAGAUUUAGAACCUUUCGAUUUUGUACUAUUAUUGAUACUUGCUAACAUACCUGACAAUUUCACUGAAGUUUAAAUUUGUCAAUGAACAAUACACAUGAUACACUCCUAAAACUACAUUGUAUAAUGCAACUUAUUGUUCUUGUUAACUAUUUAAUUAUUUAUUUUGUAUUUGGUUGCGGUAUGUGCAAUGCAAAAAAAUCUGCUUUUGUCAAGUUCUGUCUCUUCUGCUGUCGUGUUGUCAUGUUAGAUUUUUUUAUCCUGUUCAACAAAGGACAUAUGUUAAAACAAGUCAGAUUUUAAUUCAA